CGCGCCGCUCCGCACCCGCAGCCGCUGCAGUGUGCACGAGCGGGGCCUGUGAGCGAGACCUCGGCCACCUCAGCUCAGCCGCCGGCAUUGCAGCGCCGGCCCCCGGGACCACCAGGACGACGACGACACAGCACGCCGUCAUAAUCACACCGCCGCCAUGGAUCCAGAGGCCUUCCUGGACCUGGCCAACCAGGUCACCAAGCUAAAGAUGUUCCCGUACUUCGACAUCGCGCACAGCGUGCUGUGCGCGCUGCACGUCCGCGAAGACCUCGGGCCAGGGGCGCACGCCUUCUCCAGGAAGCACCCCCUGUCGUGCUGGCUGUCCACCAUGCUCGUCAUCUUCGCUGGCGGCAUGCUCUGCAACGGCCUCCUCGGCGAGCCCAUCCUGGCCCCGCUGAAGAACACACCUCAGCUCGCCGUGGCCACCAUCGUAUGGUACCUCGUCUUCUACACGCCCUUCGACAUCGGCUACAAGGCGGCCAAGUUCCUCCCCGUCAAGAUCGUGUGUUCGGGCAUGAAGGAGGUCUACAGGUGUAAAAAGGUGUACGACGGUGUGACCCACGCGGCCAAGCUGUACCCCAACGCCUACCUCAUCAUGAUCCUCAUCGGCACGCUCAAGGGCAACGGCGCCGGCUUCACCAAGCUCCUCGAGAGACUGAUCAGAGGCGUCUGGACGCCCACGGCCAUGGAGUUCAUGCAGCCCAGCUUCCCCACCAAAGCCUGCAUAGUGGCCUCCAUCAUCUUUGUCCUGGACAAGAAGACUGAUCUCAUCUCUGCGCCGCACGCCCUCGUGUACUUUGGCAUCGUCAUCUUCUUCGUCUACUUCAAGCUCUCGUCCAUCCUGCUGGGCAUCCACGACCCCUUCGUGCCGUUCGAGAACCUCUUCUGCGCGCUCUUCAUGGGCGGCAUCUGGGACUCCCUGGCCAAGGUCCUCGGCCGCGGCCCCAGCAAGGACGAGAACAAGGACCCCAAGAAGACAAACUAGGAGAGCGGAGCACCGCGGCCCCGCCACCAGCACUGCCAGGAAGAAGGGCCUGACGACUGACAACGAAUGUAGCUGUGAAGAGCAAAACACAGAUUUGAGGCUAAUCUAGUCAUACAACUGCUAGGAGGUUGGAGGUAGUACUAAAAUUUUUACCAUGGUACUCAAAGAAAAUAUUUAAAUUUUAUUCAAUCUCGUAAUUGGUGCAGAUGGCCACAAGAAAAUAAUUGCAAAAAAGUAAAAUUUGCUGACUGGUUUUAACAUUUUUGACAAAGCACCAAUUGCUGUGAAGUAUACUGAUUGUAGUCUUGACUCGGAAGACACACUUUUCUAAUCAAUGUGAAAAAAUAUAUUAUUAAUAAUAUUAAUAGACGUAGGUCACAUACAUCCAUAGAUCUGCCAAAGAUUUUUUUUUACUGUGAGAUUGAGGGGUUGGCAUGGCAUUUUCAGAUGCCUAUAUUAAGUUAUUUAUAUUUUAAGUAAGUUUGUGAAACUUACCAUUAGGUCAUCACUCAGUGGUUUACAAACUCAGUGGGUGCAGUUUGAAAUAAUUUGUGUGAUUGCCUAAAGGAAGUGUGAUUUUCAUUAAUGUAAUUUGUACAAAGGCACAAUACAACUGGAUUUGGAAAAAAAAGUUUUUGUUCCUUGUGUAAUGAAUGAAAGGAAUGGGACAAACGGAUAUAAAGAGAAAAAAAAAUGUAAUUUUCAGUUUUAAAAUAAUGAUGCAUUGAUCAAACUGUACACUAUACACAAUAACUAUAAGAUACAACUAUACAGUAUUCGGGAAACAUCUGGAGGGACCUACCCCAGUAUUCAAACAAUUACACAAAGUAGCAAUUGAAGCAUGGUAAGCCUAUAUGAAUGAUAACAAACAAAGUUGUCUAAAUCAUAACAGUAUACAAAUUUUCUUACUCAUUUUAAAAAGCAGACCCUCACAAUUUCUCUAUAAAACUGUCUUUACCCUUUGAGGGUUGAAUUUCUUUUUCCAUUUGGCUAAAAGGAAA